rnacentral:rRNA from 1 species
AUUGAACGCUGGCGGCAGGCCUAACACAUGCAAGUCGAACGAGUGGCGGACGGGUGAGUAAUUUAUGGGAAACUGCCUGAUGGAGGGGGAUAACUACUGGAAACGGUAGCUAAUACCGCAUACCAUCAGAUGUGCCCAGAUGGGAUUAGCUUGUUGGUGGGGGAACGGCUCACCAGGGCGACGAUCCCUAGCUGGUCUGAGAGGAUGACCAGCCACACUGGAACUGAGACACGGUCCAGACUCCUACGUGAGGCAGCAGGGGGGAAUAUUGCACAAUGGGCGCAAGCCUGAUGCAGCCAUGCCGCGUGUAUGAAGAAGGCUUUCGGGUUGUAAAGUACUGUCAUCGGGGAGGCGUUAUCCGCAGAAGAAGCACCGGCUAACUCCGUGCCAGCCGCCGCGGUAAUUC